UGGCAGUCAGAGGCGAUGAAGGACGUGCUAAUCUGCGAUAAGCGUCGGUAAGGUGAUAUGAACCGUUAUAACCGGCGAUUUCCGAAUGGGGAAACCCAGUGUGAUUCGUCACACUAUCAUUAACUGAAUCCAUAGGUUAAUGAGGCGAACCGGGGGAACUGAAACAUCUAAGUACCCCGAGGAAAAGAAAUCAACCGAGAUUCCCCCAGUAGCGGCGAGCGAACGGGGAGCAGCCCAGAGCCUGAAUCAGUGUGUGUGUUAGUGGAAGCGUCUGGAAAGGCGCGCGAUACAGGGUGACAGCCCCGUACACAAAAAUGCACAUGCUGUGAGCUCGAUGAGUAGGGCGGGACACGUGGUAUCCUGUCUGAAUAUGGGGGGACCAUCCUCCAAGGCUAAAUACUCCUGACUGACCGAUAGUGAACCAGUACCGUGAGGGAAAGGCGAAAAGAACCCCGGCGAGGGGAGUGAAAAAGAACCUGAAACCGUGUACGUACAAGCAGUGGGAGCACGCUUAGGCGUGUGACUGCGUACCUUUUGUAUAAUGGGUCAGCGACUUAUAUUCUGUAGCAAGGUUAACCGAAUAGGGGAGCCGAAGGGAAACCGAGUCUUAACUGGGCGUUAAGUUGCAGGGUAUAGACCCGAAACCCGGUGAUCUAGCCAUGGGCAGGUUGAAGGUUGGGUAACACUAACUGGAGGACCGAACCGACUAAUGUUGAAAAAUUAGCGGAUGACUUGUGGCUGGGGGUGAAAGGCCAAUCAAACCGGGAGAUAGCUGGUUCUCCCCGAAAGCUAUUUAGGUAGCGCCUCGUGAAUUCAUCUCCGGGGGUAGAGCACUGUUUCGGCAAGGGGGUCAUCCCGACUUACCAACCCGAUGCAAACUGCGAAUACCGGAGAAUGUUAUCACGGGAGACACACGGCGGGUGCUAACGUCCGUCGUGAAGAGGGAAACAACCCAGACCGCCAGCUAAGGUCCCAAAGUCAUGGUUAAGUGGGAAACGAUGUGGGAAGGCCCAGACAGCCAGGAUGUUGGCUUAGAAGCAGCCAUCAUUUAAAGAAAGCGUAAUAGCUCACUGGUCGAGUCGGCCUGCGCGGAAGAUGUAACGGGGCUAAACCAUGCACCGAAGCUGCGGCAGCGACGCUGAUGCGUUGUUGGGUAGGGGAGCGUUCUGUAAGCCUGUGAAGGUGUGCUGUGAGGCAUGCUGGAGGUAUCAGAAGUGCGAAUGCUGACAUAAGUAACGAUAAAGCGGGUGAAAAGCCCGCUCGCCGGAAGACCAAGGGUUCCUGUCCAACGUUAAUCGGGGCAGGGUGAGUCGACCCCUAAGGCGAGGCCGAAAGGCGUAGUCGAUGGGAAACAGGUUAAUAUUCCUGUACUUGGUGUUACUGCGAAGGGGGGACGGAGAAGGCUAUGUUGGCCGGGCGACGGUUGUCCCGGUUUAAGCGUGUAGGCUGGUUUUCCAGGCAAAUCCGGAAAAUCAAGGCUGAGGCGUGAUGACGAGGCACUACGGUGCUGAAGCAACAAAUGCCCUGCUUCCAGGAAAAGCCUCUAAGCAUCAGGUAACAUCAAAUCGUACCCCAAACCGACACAGGUGGUCAGGUAGAGAAUACCAAGGCGCUUGAGAGAACUCGGGUGAAGGAACUAGGCAAAAUGGUGCCGUAACUUCGGGAGAAGGCACGCUGAUAUGUAGGUGAAGUCCCUCGCGGAUGGAGCUGAAAUCAGUCGAAGAUACCAGCUGGCUGCAACUGUUUAUUAAAAACACAGCACUGUGCAAACACGAAAGUGGACGUAUACGGUGUGACGCCUGCCCGGUGCCGGAAGGUUAAUUGAUGGGGUCAGCGCAAGCGAAGCUCUUGAUCGAAGCCCCGGUAAACGGCGGCCGUAACUAUAACGGUCCUAAGGUAGCGAAAUUCCUUGUCGGGUAAGUUCCGACCUGCACGAAUGGCGUAAUGAUGGCCAGGCUGUCUCCACCCGAGACUCAGUGAAAUUGAACUCGCUGUGAAGAUGCAGUGUACCCGCGGCAAGACGGAAAGACCCCGUGAACCUUUACUAUAGCUUGACACUGAACAUUGAGCCUUGAUGUGUAGGAUAGGUGGGAGGCUUUGAAGUGUGGACGCCAGUCUGCAUGGAGCCGGCCUUGAAAUACCACCCUUUAAUGUUUGAUGUUCUAACGUUGACCCGUUAUCCGGGUUGCGGACAGUGUCUGGUGGGUAGUUUGACUGGGGCGGUCUCCUCCUAAAGAGUAACGGAGGAGCACGAAGGUUGGCUAAUCCUGGUCGGACAUCAGGAGGUUAGUGCAAUGGCAUAAGCCAGCUUGACUGCGAGCGUGACGGCGCGAGCAGGUGCGAAAGCAGGUCAUAGUGAUCCGGUGGUUCUGAAUGGAAGGGCCAUCGCUCAACGGAUAAAAGGUACUCCGGGGAUAACAGGCUGAUACCGCCCAAGAGUUCAUAUCGACGGCGGUGUUUGGCACCUCGAUGUCGGCUCAUCACAUCCUGGGGCUGAAGUAGGUCCCAAGGGUAUGGCUGUUCGCCAUUUAAAGUGGUACGCGAGCUGGGUUUAGAACGUCGUGAGACAGUUCGGUCCCUAUCUGCCGUGGGCGCUGGAGAACUGAGGGGGGCUGCUCCUAGUACGAGAGGACCGGAGUGGACGCAUCACUGGUGUUCGGGUUGUCAUGCCAAUGGCACUGCCCGGUAGCUAAAUGCGGAAGAGAUAAGUGCUGAAAGCAUCUAAGCACGAAACUUGCCCCGAGAUGAGUUCUCCCUGACUCCUUGAGAGUCCUGAAGGAACGUUGAAGACGACGACGUUGAUAGGCCGGGUGUGUAAGCGCAGCGAUGCGUUGAGCUAACCGGUACUAAUGAACCGUGAGGCUUAACCUUACAACGCCGAAG
rnacentral:rRNA from 1 species